CCUACGGGAGGCCGCAGUGAGGAAUAUUGGUCAAUGGGCGGAAGCCUGAACCAGCCAAGUCGCGUGAGGGAUUAAGGCCCUGCGGGUCGUAAACCUCUUUUGCCGGGGAGCAGUGGUCCGGACGCGUCCGGACCGGGAGAGUACCCGGAGAACAAGCAUCGGCUAACUCCGUGCCAGCAGCCGCGGUAAUACGGAGGAUGCGAGCGUUAUCCGGAUUUAUUGGGUUUAAAGGGUGCGUAGGCGGGCAUUUAAGCCGGCGGUCAAAUGUCGGGGCUCAACCCCGGCCUGCCGUCGGAACUGGGUGCCUUGAGUGGGCGAGAAGUAUGCGGAAUGCGUGGUGUAGCGGUGAAAUGCAUAGAUAUCACGCAGAACCCCGAUUGCGAAGGCAGCAUACCGGCGCCCUACUGACGCUGAGGCACGAAAGUGCGGGUAUCGAACAGGAUUAGAUACCCCAGUAGUC
rnacentral:rRNA from 1 species